rnacentral:lncRNA from 1 species
CGCCCCUCUCCCCGGAAGAAUGGGGGCCUCUGCUCACACCAGAUUGGUCGGACGGCAUCACGUGACCUCAUCUCUUGGACUCGCUUGCUAUUCCCGAAAAGGGGGAAAGGAUUUGGGGGGGACAAUCGCGGAGCCUCUCGCUGGCUUUAGGGAGAGAGGGCUGGGGUAGAGGAGAGCCCCAGGGAGCAGGCAGAGGUGGGUUGGCUAGGGCCUUGUGUGACUUGGGCUGAGAAACUUCACUUAUUCCCUGGCGCUGGCAGUUGUCAAACUGGGUCUUGUAGAUGCUAAGUCUCCAUAGAGGUAUCGUAGGUGUUCAAGAUGAAGGAGAAGGCUCUCAUUAACAUGGCCUCACAAGAGAACCAGACUUCAGGGAGAGGAGAGCAGAAGGAUAUUCUUUCUGGGAGCCCUGAGCCCAUCUAACCUCCAGUUCGUCCAUCAACUGAUUACUGCUCAGUCACCUCAGAUGAUACCACUGGGAGCCAGAGAACUGCCUAGCUGUGCCCUGCCUGAAUGUCUGACUCAUCACUCAUGGUGGAUGACCUUUUUCCUGAAGAAACUGCUGCAGAAUGAAAGCUCCAGGCGCUUGGGUGCAGCAAGUAGGCUAUGCAUUUCCCACCAGCAGGAAUCUAGCUCCUGGCCAAGGUGAGCCACGCAGAGCAGCAGCCACGGGUAUCAUCCUCCCAGGAGGCAGAUCCCAAUUCGCGGAGAAGACCCGGCCAGCGGGAGGAUGCCAGCCUCAUCCUCAAGGCUGGGAUUGGGACUCUUUCCAGAAGGAACGACCUCUGUGCUUGAGUUGGUUGGGGGGCGCAAUGGAUUCUUUAACACUGGGGAAAUUCAUACAGAUGAAAGUGAGAGACACAUGACAGUGAACUGUAAACAUCAGCCAGGUCUUAGAAACGCUGGGGGAGGGACACACAAACCUUGUGAGAAGAAAAAUAAGCUUUUGUGGAAGUGAGGUUUGGAGGCCAAGAGUCCUUUAAGCGUCUUAAAGGAUCCACUGUGCAUCCUUUGUUAGUGGUGGGUGUGCUUCCUCCAACACUAGCCUUUGGUUUACUUUUAUGUGCCACUGGAUUCUGUUGCUCCAGGGAUACCAGGCUCUUUAGAAGCCAUUCUAGCAGCUGGUCUCUGCUUGGGAAUGUACAAGUGUUGGCUCUGGGACAUGUAAUCGCCUGUGCCUCCUGAUGUGGUUUCCAAGCAUCCACUGAGGUUUCUUUCACUUUGGGGGAAAAGAUGAGAGGCCCUGUGCUUAAACAAUUUGGAAGCAGAAAUCCAAACACCAGGGACCUGAGUGCAGCAAGGGCAGGGUCCUGGGAGGGCCUCUCCAGAAACCGCUCUCCUUCUGGAGGGAGGAUGGGGUCAUCUUUGCUGAGCAGAAGGCAGCGAUGGUUUCCUUUUAGAUGCUGUGGGUGCCCCUGUCAGCAAGAACCCCAGUUGUGGCCUCAGGGGUGGGGAGGAGAGCUCUUUCAGUGUUGCCUUAGGUGUGUGUCUGUGUGUGUCCUAACCCAGUCCUUCCCACACUCCCCCACGUGCUGAUCACGACGAGCACCUCUAAGGCUGGGUCUUUGCAUUAGAAAGUUAUUUGUUAGGGGUACAGGGGGCAAAGAAGGCACCUGGCACUCAUCCUCACCUCCAACUCCCAUGCUUGGGCAGGAUGUCUUUGUCCCUGAGUGAGGUGACGAGCUUUGCUGGCCCCACAGUCUUACCUGCCUGGUCGGGUGAGCCAAGGGGGACCCUGUCCAUGAUGUCUGGGCCAAGAUGUCCCUGUUGGCGACCCUGGAGGGUCCUCUGUCCUGCUGCUGCUCCUGUGGUCACGUAGGGGGUCUGCUCCUCAUGGACCCACCACCCCCGUGUAGUUGUAAUGCAAGUGAGGGGUUCUAAUUUUGUCAGCUUUAUCUUAGUGAAAUAAAGGUUAAUAUCACAGAACCGAAAACAAAGCUUCUGCUCAUUACUAGGGAGUUUCAGCUACUCCCUUUCCGCAAAACAAUAAAUCCAAUCUUAACAUUUUCAGCUUUCUCAUGAUUCUCACUCUCCCUUCUCAG